UACGGGGGGGGCAAGCGUUGUUCGGAAUUACUGGGCGUAAAGGGCUCGUAGGCGGCCAACUAAGUCAGACGUGAAAUCCCUCGGCUUAACCGGGGAACUGCGUCUGAUACUGGAUGGCUUGAAUCCGGGAGAGGGAUGCGGAAUUCCAGGUGUAGCGGUGAAAUGCGUAGAUAUCUGGAGGAACACCGGUGGCGAAGGCGGCAUCCUGGACCGGCAUUGACGCUGAGGUGGCGGAAAAGCGUUGGGGAGACCAAACAGGGAUUAAGAAACCCC
rnacentral:rRNA from 1 species